rnacentral:rRNA from 1 species
UUUAUGACUCUCGGCAACGGAUAUCUUGGCUCUCGCAUCGAUGAAGAACGUAGCGAAAUGCGAUACUUGGUGUGAAUUGCAGAAUCCCGUGAACCAUCGAGUCUUUGAACGCAAGUUGCGCCCGAGGCUAUCCGGCCGAGGGCACGCCUGCCUG